rnacentral:rRNA from 1 species
UACAGAGGGUGCAAGCGUUAAUCGGAAUUACUGGGCGUAAAGCGUGCGUAGUCGGUUAUUUAAGUCGGGUGUGAAAGCCCCGGGCUCAACCUGGGAAUUGCAUUCGAUACUGGAUAGCUAGAGUUCGGCAGAGGGAAGCGGAAUUUCCGGUGUAGCGGUGAAAUGCGUAGAUAUCGGGAGGAACAUCAGUGGCGAAAGCGGCUUCCUGGACCAGAACUGACGAUCAGGCACGAAAGCGUGGGGAGCAAACAGG